GAUGAACGCUGGCGGCGUGCCUAAUACAUGCAAGUCGAGCGAAUGGAUUAAGAGCUUGCUCUUAUGAAGUUAGCGGCGGACGGGUGAGUAACACGUGGGUAACCUGCCCAUAAGACUGGGAUAACUCCGGGAAACCGGGGCUAAUACCGGAUAACAUUUUGAACCGCAUGGUUCGAAAUUGAAAGGCGGCUUCGGCUGUCACUUAUGGAUGGACCCGCGUCGCAUUAGCUAGUUGGUGAGGUAACGGCUCACCAAGGCAACGAUGCGUAGCCGGCCUGAGAGGGCGAUCGGCCACACUGGGACUGAGACACGGCCCAGACUCCUACGGGAGGCAGCAGUAGGGAAUCUUCCGCAAUGGACGAAAGUCUGACGGAGCAACGCCGCGUGAGUGAUGAAGGCUUUCGGGUCGUAAAACUCUGUUGUUAGGGAAGAACAAGUGCUAGGUGAAUAAGCUGGCACCUUGACGGUACCUAACCAGAAAGCCACGGCUAACUACGUGCCAGCCGCCGCGGUAA
rnacentral:rRNA from 1 species